rnacentral:rRNA from 1 species
UACGUAGGGUGCGAGCGUUGUCCGGAAUUAUUGGGCGUAAAGAGCUCGUAGGCGGCUUGUCGCGUCGGAUGUGAAAGCCCGGGGCUUAACUCCGGGUCUGCAUUCGAUACGGGCAGGCUAGAGUCGGUAGGGGAGAUCGGAAUUCCUGGUGUAGCGGUGAAAUGCGCAGAUAUCAGGAGGAACACCGGUGGCGAAGGCGGUCUCUGGGCAUUACCUGACGCUGAGGAGCGAAAGUGUGGGGAGCGAACAGG